AGCAGUGGUGGCUGAACGGUUAAGGCAGCGGGUUACUGACCCGAAGGUUGGGGGUUCAAGUCCCGCUGUUGCUG